CAAACAAGGCUAUAAAACGAGUGGAAUAGAAUGAAGCCGAAAACAGCAAGAGAAGACCAUGAGGCAAAGGCGUAUGCACUGACUUUAUGAGUGGAAACGAAGAACGUUGACAAAAAUACUAAUUAAAUAAUAAUAAAAAUUAUCAACAAAUAUCACUCGCAUUAAAAUUUGAGCGCAAAGAACAUAAAUAACAAAAAUAUAUAGACAAAGUUUGUUGCUUAUUUUUCUUUAUCCAACGCUUUUCUAAAACUUAUUGUGUGCUGCGGGAAAUUGGAGCAACUUUGCCUUGUCCAUUGUUGGAAUCAGCAAUUGGUAAGUAGCCAGACUGCAAAUGGAAGAAUGGGACCGGCAGCAGAGCAAUAAGAAAUACUGAAGGCAAGAGGCACUAGGAACUGAACAAGUUAACACUAUAUACAUAUGUAUAUAUUCGUCAUAUUUUCACCAUUAUCGGCACCCCAACAACAGCAAAAACAAAUGCAAACUGAACAGGAAUGACAGCAGCGACGUCGGCGGCACAAAAUGUCAAUAACUUUGCUGUCGCAAGACAUUCCUCGACGUUAGUCUUCCGGUUGGCUUUGAAAAUCACGGGAAAUUCACGACAGCGAAGUGGGCGAUGGAAUAAAUAAUUUGUAUGUACGAUGUGUACAACCGACGGUGCAUACGUAUAUCGAUACGUAUAAAUACAAACGUACGCGUGCAUAAAUGCAACAAAUAAUCAAAGAAAACGAAAAUAAAUCUAUAAACGCGCGCGCUCAACGCAAUGUCAGACAAACAGCGGGGUCUUGAUAUCGGAAGGUGGCAUGGGAUAGGCCAGAAGAUCAACAGUGGCAACCGCGUAGGUGACAAGAGCGAGUGUCACAUAAAUUCUUUGAGAAAACUAUAUUUACUAGAACAAAUAAUCUGUGCUGUGCGUGCCGAACGCUGGGAUAUAGUAGACGUUGAGAGAGCACGAGCGUAGCGCCAAUACUUUCGUAGUACACGGAUGGUUGCUAAUUCAGCCGAUUUCGUAGGCAAGAAAAUCCAAAAAUCAAAACCAGCAUCAUCCCACAUGGCUAUAAAUACGCACAAAAAAGCAAAAAAAAAUAGCAUAACAAAGAAAUAAAUAUAAAUAAAAAUACGUUAGAAAUCAAAAAGUAAUUGCAAACGGUGGUAGUGCUGGUAGUAGAGACGAAGGGCAAUGGCAGUGGUUUUGGAGCGCGGAGGUGGUGAAGGUAAUUGUGACAGUGACAGUAGCGUAGAAAAAGAAAACAAAUAAAAUACAAUAUUGAAAAUAAAAAUCACAGCAAAGGAGAUGCUGCCUGUCAAAUGAUGUGCAGCAAAAAGUACACACACACACGCUAAUAUACAUACUUAUCUACGUAUAUGUAUGUGUGUACAGUGCGCCUAUGCAAGUAGAGAUUGUCGUGGGCGUAGUAACAUUUAAUUGAAUUGAUAAAAUAACAUGCGAAUUAAAGUCACAUUUCACAUUAUAUAGAUAAAACAAUCCAUUUAAUUAGACUUUCUUAUGCAAUUACUCUUAUUUGUUAGAGCUAACUUGACUAUAUUUAUCAAAUAAAUAGAAAAAUACUUGGUGUUAAAAUGGAAUAAUGUACUGAAGUUUGCCAUUUUCUUUAUACAGUAAAUCUUAUUAGAAAAAAGUCAAUUAAUUUAAAAUUUAUACAUCGUGAGCAUUUAAACUUGACAAGGCGAAUAUUUAUCAUUUAAGAAACUGCCUAAAGUCAUCCUUUGCUAUGGGACAGAAGUUACGAUUCGGUUUUUUCAUACACAACAAAGUUUAAGAUAUUUUUAGAAACAAUGACCUAAAAUUAAAAGAAUGCGCUAAUAUUAAUUAAAAAUAAAUAACGGAAAUAUUAUAAAAUUA